rnacentral:rRNA from 1 species
GGCCUUUAGAAUUUAAUUUAAGGUCUGACCUGCCCAGUGAUGAAUUUAACGGCCGCGGUAUAUUGACCGUGCAAAGGUAGCAUAAUCAUUAGUCUUUUAAUAGAGGGCUGGAAUGAACGGUUUAACGAGGAAUUGACUGUCUCAUUUUAUUUGUUUUAAAAUUUAAUUUUUUAGUUAAAAAGCUAAAAUAAUAUUGGAAGACGAGAAGACCCUAUAGAUCUUUAUAUAAUUUUUUGUAUUUAUUUACAUAUUAACAUAAUUGUAGCAAAAUUAUAUUUUGUUGGGGUGACAAAAAUAUAUAAUUAACUUUUUCAUUUAUUUACCAUUGAUGUAUGAUUUUUAGAUCCAUUUUUAGUGAUUGCUAGAGUAAGUUACCUUAGGGAUAACAGCGUAAUCCUCCUCCAGAGUUCAUAUUUACAGGAGGGCUUGCGACCUCGAUGUUGGAUUAAGAUAAUAAUUAGGUGUAGCCGCUUAAUUUAUAGGUCUGUUCGACCUUUAAAUUCUU